rnacentral:lncRNA from 1 species
GCUGUAUCUCGAGGUCGGCUCUGGCGUGCAAGUGCAAGCUGGCCAGCCAGAAAACCUGCAGACAGAUGCAGCUAACAAAGGCAAAAUAAGUAUAUAUAAUCUCGCUAUCAGGUUGCCGCUACCCUGCGUGCACUGAUCUCUAGAUUCUUCAUCUCCUCGGACCACAUGAACAUACAUAUAUAUGACCUUUAGCUGGGGACGUCCUGGUGAGCUGAAUCCAUGGGUUGAUAC